rnacentral:lncRNA from 1 species
GGAAAGUGAUUUGGAGUUUUGUAGCUCCAGUUAUAAAUGAUUUAGUGACUAUUGCUCAGGAAAAACAGCUUGUGCUGAAUUUGAGAUUGUGUUGUAAACCUUGAUAAACUUGUUCUAGUUGCUCAUAAGCUAUCGAUUAAACCCAUACGUGAAUUCUAAAUUGUGAUAUUGGAAAAUGAUAGAUGUAGAUUCAGCCAAGAAAGUGUAUAUAUGUGAUAAGGCCUAAUGGCCGAUGUGAUGAAUGUGAAAGUGUAUAUGUGUGAUAAGGCCUAAUAGUCGAUGUGAUGAAUGUGAAAGUGUAUAUAUGUGAUAAGGCCUAAUGGCCGAUGUGAUGAAUGUGAAAGUGUAUAUAUAUGUGAUAAGGCCUAAUAGCCGAUGUGAUGAAUCUGAAAGUGUAUAUGUGUG